AUUGAACGCUGGCGGCAUGCUUUACACAUGCAAGUCGAACGGUAACAGGCCGCAAGGUGCUGACGAGUGGCGAACGGGUGAGUAAUGCAUCGGAACGUGCCCAGUCGUGGGGGAUAACGCAGCGAAAGCUGUGCUAAUACCGCAUACGAUCUAUGGAUGAAAGCGGGGGACCGUAAGGCCUCGCGCGAUUGGAGCGGCCGAUGUCAGAUUAGGUAGUUGGUGGGGUAAAGGCCCACCAAGCCGACGAUCUGUAGCUGGUCUGAGAGGACGACCAGCCACACUGGGACUGAGACACGGCCCAGACUCCUACGGGAGGCAGCAGUGGGGAAUUUUGGACAAUGGCGCAAGCCUGAUCCAGCAAUGCCGCGUGCGGGAAGAAGGCCUUCGGGUUGUAAACUGCUUUUGUACGGAACGAAACGGUCUGGGUUAAUACCCUGGGCUAAUGACGGUACCGUAAGAAUAAGCACCGGCUAACUACGUGCCAGCAGCCGCGGUAACAC
rnacentral:rRNA from 1 species